CAGUACAACUGACUGCAGUUCUUGAGAUGCUUGAAGAAUUAUAGGCUAUAAUUUGCAAUUAUGGAUCCGCAUAAUUAGGGCUUGUCUACAUUACGUGCUGGAUCGACGGGCAGUGAUUGAUCUAGCAGGGAUCGAUUUGUCUAGAUGUGAUAAAUCGACAGCUGAGCGUUCUCCCAUCGACUCUGGUACUCCACCAGGGUGAGAAGCACAGGCAGAUUUGACAGGAGAGCAUCAGCCAUCGACUUACCGCAGUGAAGACACCACGUCCCCCUAACCCCGAUGCAAUGAGAUGAAGAGCAUGAUUGACUGUUCUAUUUUUGCAAGACCAGCUAGGUCAAGACCCAGGAAAGUUCAAGGUUGGUUCUCAUCUCCAUCAUGUUGUGUUCAGUGUCACCAAAUUGUUCAUGAAGAGGGUCUCAAUACACAUAACAGGGUGUCUCUGUAUAUUUGAAUAGCAGGAGAAGAUGGGGGUUCAUGAGCAGAACAUUUCCCCAAUUUUUGCCCCUUCUACCUGAGAUUUUAACUGAACAAGAUGCUUAAGGAUGUGCCUAUCUUUAAGCACACUCAUAGUCCCAUUGACUUCAAUGGGGCUUGCUUUUGUACCAUGCCAAAUUGGGGCCUGAAU